AGGAAAAGAGGCAUCAAAGGCACCUUGAACACAGCCACUUGAACUGAAAGUUCUCCCCCUGUUACCGACGGGCUGAUUGGCUGGCCGCAGCUUGCCACUGAACUUUCCCUCUGGUCACCGACUGUGCGAGGAGGGGGGAAGCAGCAGAAAGCGGGGUGGGGUAAGGAGAGAGCAUCUCCGUUGAGAUCUAUGUUGGGGAAACACCCCACCCCGCCCCCGCCCCCCACGGGUGACUUCCCCAAGCCGUAGAAAGAUCUGCUCAAGCACCGCAGGUUUCCAAGAGCACCACGGGCUGAUUCCGGAGAAAUGAAUAAAUAAUGAGAUACCUAUCAGUGUCUAACAGCCUCUGGCACCUUAAGAACUGCAGUAAACAGUUUUUGAAACGCUAGGCACUGUGCCCAGGUGGAUUUCAAAGAGGGAACAAAAGCCAGCGAGAGGAAAUGAAAAUGCUAACAUCAACAACAAUACAACAAAUGCAAAAAGCACUCUCAGACCACAUAAAUUAUGAAGAGAAAUCAAAAGCAGAUUUCCCCUCUUUUCUUAUCGUUUAUAUAAAAUCACAUUAAGGGAUUGUUUACUCACAAAUAAAUUGUGAAAGCAAAAUUACAUGCUUCCAUAUAGUCUAAAGUCUUAGAAAUCCAUGGGCUUCUGUAAUAAGCAAGAGUGAGGUUUCCAGUUGAAUCAGUCUCCAUCCAUAACAUAUAAGGUGGCGAAGUUUUGUUCUAAUGCUAUGUGGUUACAUCAGUUUUUUAUUUCAUGUGUAUGUUCUUCCUGAAUUUUUAGUUUAUAUUUAUAUUUAUUGUUAGCAAUUGCUAGUUAAGUCUUUGAUUGGUACUGUAUGUGACUGAUGUUUUAUCAUUUUCUAGCAAUUGUUAACCUUUUGUAGGAUUUCUUUAUCCUACCAUUUAAAAAUUGUUUUCUAAGCUGACCAUGGGUUGUAAAUAAAAUAUCUAUCAGUUGGA